rnacentral:rRNA from 1 species
GGGAGCCGGAGGGAAACCGAGUCUUAAUUGGGCGUUAAGUUGCAGGGUAUAGACCCGAAACCCGGUGAUCUAGCCAUGGGCAGGUUGAAGGUUGGGUAACACUAACUGGAGGACCGAACCGACUAAUGUUGAAAAAUUAGCGGAUGACCUGUGGCUGGGGGUGAAAGGCCAAUCAAACCGGGAGAUAGCUGGUUCUCCCCGAAAGCUAUUUAGGUAGCGCCUCGUGAAUUCAUCUCCGGGGGUAGAGCACUGUUUCGGCUAGGGGGCCAUCCCGGCUUACCAACCCGAUGCAAACUGCGAAUACCGGAGAAUGUUAUCACGGGAGACACACGGCGGGUGCUAACGUCCGUCGUGAAGAGGGAAACAACCCAGACCGCCAGCUAAGGUCCCAAAGUCAUGGUUAAGUGGGAAACGAUGUGGGAAGGCCCAGACAGCCAGGAUGUUGGCUUAGAAGCAGCCAUCAUUUAAAGAAAGCGUAAUAGCUCACUGGUCGAGUCGGCCUGCGCGGAAGAUGUAACGGGGCUAAACCAUGCACCGAAGCUGCGGCAGCGACGCUUAUGCGUUGUUGGGUAGGGGAGCGUUCUGUAAGCCUGUGAAGGUGGCCUGUGAGGGUUG